AAAGGAAUUGACGGGGACCCGCACAAGCAGCGGAGCGUGUGGUUUUAAUUCGUUGCUACACGAAGAACCUUACCUGGGUUUGACAUAUAGGUUGUUAGGGAACUGAAAAGGGACGACCUUCGGGGAGCCUAUACAGGUGUUGCAUGGCUGUCGUCAGCUCGUGUCGUGAGAUGUUCGGUUAAGUCCGCUAACGAGCGCAACCCUCGCCGUAUGUUACAAGUGUCAUACGGGACUGCCGGUAAAAAGCCGGAGGAAGGUGAGGAUGAUGUCAAGUCAGCAUGACCUUUAUAUCCAGGGCUACACACACGCUACAAUGGUCUGUACAAUUGGUUGCCAAGCCGCGAGGCGGAGCCAAUCCGUAAAGCAGGCCUCAGUUCAGAUUGCAGUCUGCAACUCGACUGCAUGAAGCCGGAGUUGCUAGUAACCGCAGGUCAGCAAUACUCGCGGUCCGAAUACGUUCCGGGCCUU
rnacentral:rRNA from 1 species